AACGUAGGUACCGAGCGUUAUCCGGAUUUACUGGGCGUAAAGCGCGUUCAGGCGGUUUGGCAAGUCGGGCAUGAAAUCUCUCGGCUCAACCGGGAGAGGUUGUCCGAUACUGCUGGACUUGAGGGCAGUAGAGGGUGGUGGAAUUCCUGGUGUAGCGGUGGAAUGCGCAGAUAUCAGGAGGAACACCGAUGGCGAAGGCAGGUCUCUGGGCCACUACUGACGCUGAGAAGCGAAAGCAUGGGGAGCGAACAGG
rnacentral:rRNA from 1 species